UACAGGGGGGUGCAAACGUUGCUCGGAAUCAUUGGGCGUAAAGCGCACGUAGGCGGUUACUUAAGUCGGAUGUGAAAGCCCUUGGCUCAACUGAGGAAGUGCAUCCGAAACUGAGUAGCUAGAGUACGAAAGAGGGUCGCGGAAUUCCCGGUGUAGAGGUGAAAUUCGUAGAUAUCGGGAGGAACACCGGUGGCGAAGGCGGCGACCUGGGUCGAGACUGACGCUGAGGUGCGAAAGCGUGGGGAGCGAACAGG
rnacentral:rRNA from 1 species